CUGCGAAUGGCUCAUUAUAUAAGUUAUCGUUUAUUUGAUAGUACCUUACUACUUGGAUAACCGUGGUAAUUCUAGAGCUAAUACAUGCUAAAAAUCCCGACUUCGGAAGGGAUGUAUUUAUUAGAUUAAAAACCAAUGCCCUCUGGGCUCCUUGGUGAUUCAUGAUAACUUCUCGAAUCGCAUGGCCUUGUGCCGGCGAUGGUUCAUUCAAAUUUCUUCCCUAUCAACUUUCGAUGUUUGGGUAGUGGCCAAACAUGGUUGCAACGGGUAACGGAGGGUUAGGGCUCGACCCCGGAGAAGGAGCCUGAGAAACGGCUACUACAUCCAAGGAAGGCAGCAGGCGCGCAAAUUACCCAAUCCCGACACGGGGAGGUAGUGACAAUAAAUACUGAUACAGGGCUCUUUUGGGUCUUGUAAUUGGAAUGAGUACAAUUUAAAUCCCUUAACGAGGAACAAUUGGAGGGCAAGUCUGGUGCCAGCAGCCGCGGUAAUUCCAGCUCCAAUAGCGUAUAUUAAAGUUGUUGUGGUUAAAAAGCUCGUAGUUGAACCUUGGGCCUGGCUGGCCGGUCCGCCUCACCGCGUGUACUGGUCCGGCCGGGCCUUUCCCUCUGUGGAACCCCAUGCCCUUCACUGGGUGUGGCGGGGAAACAGGACUUUUACUUUGAAAAAAUUA
rnacentral:rRNA from 1 species